GAGGGUAGAGUGGGAGUCCCUUACAUCUCCAGUGGGCAGCGGGACGCAGUCAGCUCUGCCAGGCAAGGGGUGCCCAGGAGGCAUCUGCAGCAAGAGUUGGAUUUGUCUCUGCUUUGAAUGAUUAAUAGCUCAAGCCUCACAGGGGGAACCUGCAAGCAAAAACUGAGAGAUACGUUCAGCUCAUGUGAGGACUGCUCACACAAGAUGCUGAUCUUACUAAUAGGGAAGCCUGAGUUGUGCUGGAAGCUAGUGUGUCUGAUGCCAACACUGAUGUAUGUAGUUGUCUUGCUGUUGGGAGAGGACCAGUUGUGUGACCCUUGAUCGUACCUGGCUCCUGCUCACCAGAGAAAUCUCAGCACUGAAUUUA